GCACUGCUGAGCAAUUCCACAAUAGGACGAAACGGCCGUCCAGUGC
rnacentral:hammerhead_ribozyme from 1 species